rnacentral:ncRNA from 1 species
UAGGAACCGUGAGAUUAACCCAUCGCGGCAGGUGCUCACGUUAAGCCCACCUGACUUUCAUGUCCCUAUCUACUAUCUAGCGAAACCACAGCCAAGGGAACGGGCUUGGAAUAAUUAGCGGGGAAAGAAAAACCCUUUGAACUUUACUCUAUCUUGCAGUGUGAAGAAAAAUAAGAAGGGAUAAAAAAAUGGGGAAAAUAAUAAAAUUUCGUUUUGUUUUCCCAAAGAAAAAACCCUCUCCCUUAAUUUUUCCUUUCUUUCUUUAAUUAAAUGGGAACGGGGAUACUUUUCCCUACCCUUAAACCGAAAUAAAUUAUUAUAUGCUUUUGGGGUUUGGGGGUUU